rnacentral:ncRNA from 1 species
GAUAAGUGGCUUGUGGCAGCCAAGUGUUCAUAGCGACGUUGCUUUUUGAUCCUUUGAUGUCGGCUCUUCCUAUCAUACCGAAGCAGAAUUCGGUAAGCAUUGAGUUGUUCACCAACUAAUAGGGAACGUGAGCUGGGUUUAGACUGUCGUGAGACAGGUU